UAUAGGUGUUAACCUACAGGUGUGAUGCUUUGUUGCUAUUCUUUCGCCUUCUGUUUGUGCUGUUAAAACCAUGUUAUGCUUAUUAAUUUCACAAAGACAUAAUAGUCAUAGGAUUUCCUUUACAGACUCAGGUUUAGCUAGUAAUUUAACUUGUGAUGUGAAAUAAAGAUGUUAAAAGCAGCCUCCUACAGCAGAUCUGGGCCUCCCUCCAGCUGAGGUGCUGGUGCACAGCCUGAGGAUUAAGGGUUUCAUCCCAGGUUCAGGGAUGUGUCUGUCACUUUCCUGUGGGCAGGUUCAACCAGAAGUGAAGCUGAGCAUGUAUCCCAAAGAUGUAGACACACAUGGACACAGAGUGGGUAAGGUGGGAAGUGACCCCACUGGUGUCAUCUGCUCUAACCUCCCUGCUCAGUGAGGGAAUGAAGGAGUACAUUUGAGCCAAGAAAAAAGAGGAUCUAGAGAAAGUUUCCAUGCAGGAAGGAAGGAAGGAAGACGUGCUGGUGAGCCGUUUCCUGUUCAUCUUCCAUUCUAUUUUUAGAGAAGUCCUUAAUGCUGACCAUCUCAAAGGAAACAACUGAAAAGAUAGGAAAACCAACAACAUGGCAAUAAGAAGCUUUCUUCCUUUACAAGAAAGUUGAUGAAAAUAAUGCAUAAAUUUUCAUGACACAACUAAGAGACCAAGUUUAAGAAGACUUGCAAAGUGAAUGGAUCUUCAACAUCUUCUGCACUUCUUCCCAGCACAGCUCCUGCAAGAGCUCUCCGUUAGCUGCUCUCAUUUUCCUCUAUUCUUGCAUAUUGGUAACUUGUACUGAUCAGUUUCUUAGUGGUAUUGUCAGACUCAACAGGGUUAAUAGAAAAAUACACACACACAACACAAAACAACUCCAUUGCCAUCUCUCCUCUUCUCAUAUUUAGAAGGGAAGGGAACAGGAAUGAAAAUGCCAUAAUUAGUGCCUUGAUGCGUUCACUUAAUUUUUUGGCCAUAAUUUGGAUCUUGCAGUCACUGAAGUGUGCCCUCAAAUUAAAAUAUAAACAGG